rnacentral:rRNA from 1 species
GAACGCGAAGAACCUUACCAAGGCUUGACAUAUACUGGACCGCAUCAGAGAUGGUGUUUCCCUUCGGGGCUGGUAUACAGGUGGUGCAUGGUUGUCGUCAGCUCGUGUCGUGAGAUGUUGGGUUAAGUCCCGCAACGAGCGCAACCCUCGUUCUAUGUUGCCAGCACGUUAUGGUGGGGACUCAUAGGAGACUGCCGGGGUCAACUCGGAGGAAGGUGGGGAUGACGUCAAAUCAUCAUGCCCCUUAUGUCUUGGGCUUCACGCAUGCUACAAUGGCCGGUACAGAGGGUUGCGAUACUGUGAGGUGGAGCUAAUCCCUAAAAGCCGGUCUCAGUUCGGAUUGGGGUCUGCAACUCGACCCCAUGAAGUCGGAGUCGCUAGUAAUCGCAGAUCAGCAACGCUGCGGUGAAUACGUUCCCGGGUCUUGUCCACACC